rnacentral:rRNA from 1 species
ACUCCUACGGGAGGCAGCAGUAGGGAAUCUUCCACAAUGGGCGCAAGCCUGAUGGAGCAACACCGCGUGAGUGAAGAAGGGUUUCGGCUCGUAAAGCUCUGUUGUUAAAGAAGAACACGUAUGAGAGUAACUGUUCAUACGUUGACGGUAUUUAACCAGAAAGUCACGGCUAACUACGUGCCAGCAGCCGCGGUAAUACGUAGGUGGCAAGCGUUAUCCGGAUUUAUUGGGCGUAAAGAGAGUGCAGGCGGUUUUCUAAGUCUGAUGUGAAAGCCUUCGGCUUAACCGGAGAAGUGCAUCGGAAACUGGAUAACUUGAGUGCAGAAGAGGGUAGUGGAACUCCAUGUGUAGCGGUGGAAUGCGUAGAUAUAUGGAAGAACACCAGUGGCGAAGGCGGCUACCUGGUCCGCAACUGACGCUGAGACUCGAAAGCAUGGUAGCGAACAGGAUUAGAUACCCUGGUAGGAUAGCG